AUGAACGCUGGCGGCGUGCCUAAUACAUGCAAGUCGAACGGGCGAGAUCCAGCUUGCUGGAUUUAGCUAGUGGCGAACGGGUGAGUAAUACGUAAGCAACCUGCCUGCAAGGACCGGGAUAACACCUGGAAACGGGCGCUAAUACCGGAUAGGUAGCGAGGGGGCAUCCUCUUGUUAUUAAAGGUUAGAAACACAAGCAGAUGGGCUUACGGUGCAUUAGCUAGUUGGUGAGGUAACGGCCCACCAAGGCGAUGAUGCAUAGCCGGCCUGAGAGGGUGAACGGCCACAUUGGGACUGAGACACGGCCCAGACUCCUACGGGAGGCAGCAGUAGGGAAUUUUCGGCAAUGGGCGCAAGCCUGACCGAGCAACGCCGCGUGAGUGAUGAAGGUUUUCGGAUUGUAAAGCUCUGUUGUAAGGGAAGAAUGGUGCGGAUAGAAUCUGCAAAUGACGGUACCUUACCAGAAAGCCACGGCUAACUACGUGCCAGCAGCGGC
rnacentral:rRNA from 1 species